rnacentral:rRNA from 1 species
GACGAACGCUGGCGGCGUGCUUAACACAUGCAAGUCGAACGAAGUGGCGUACGGGUGAGUAACGCGUAAUCAACCUGCCCUUCAGCGGGGGACAACAGCUGGAAACGACUGCUAAUACCGCAUAAUGAAGAAGGGGAGUGCGGCGGAUUUGCUAGUUGGAGGGGUAACGGCCCACCAAGGCGAUGAUCAGUAGCCGGUCUGAGAGGAUGAACGGCCACAUUGGGACUGGGACACGGCCCAGACUCCUACGGGAAGCAGCAGUGGGGAAUCUUCCGCAAUGGAAGAAAGUCUGACGGAGCAACGCCGCGUGAGUGAUGACGGCCUUCGGGUUGUAAAGCUCUGUUAAUCGGGACGCGGUACCGGAAUAGAAAGCCACGGCUAACUACGUGCCAGCAGCCGCGGUAAUAC